UGAGGAAUAUUGGUCAAUGGACGAGAGUCUGAACCAGCCAAGUAGCGUGAAGGAUGACUGCCCUAUGGGUUGUAAACUUCUUUUAUACGGGAAUAAAGUGAGGCACGUGUGCCUUUUUGUAUGUACCGUAUGAAUAAGGAUCGGCUAACUCCGUGCCAGCAGCCGCGGUAAUACGGAGGAUCCGAGCGUUAUCCGGAUUUAUUGGGUUUAAAGGGAGCGUAGGCGGACGCUUAAGUCAGUUGUGAAAGUUUGCGGCUCAACCGUAAAAUUGCAGUUGAUACUGGGUGUCUUGAGUACAGUAGAGGCAGGCGGAAUUCGUGGUGUAGCGGUGAAAUGCUUAGAUAUCACGAAGAACUCCGAUUGCGAAGGCAGCUUGCUGGACUGUAACUGACGCUGAUGCUCGAAAGUGUGGGUAUCAAACAGGAUUAGAUACCCUGGUAGUCCACACAGUAAACGAUGAAUACUCGCUGUUUGCGAUAUACAGUAAGCGGCCAAGCGAAAGCGUUAAGUAUUCCACCUGGGGAGUACGCCGGCAACGGUGAAACUCAAAGGAAUUGACGGGGGCCCGCACAAGUGGAGGAACAUGUGGUUUAAUUCGAUGAUACGCGAGGAACCUUACCCGGGCUUGAAUUGCAACUGAAUGAUGUGGAGACAUGUCAGCCGCAAGGCAGUUGUGAAGGUGCUGCAUGGUUGUCGUCAGCUCGUGCCGUGAGGUGUCGGCUUAAGUGCCAUAACGAGCGCAACCCUUAUCGAUAGUUACCAUCAGGUUAUGCUGGGGACUCUGUCGAGACUGCCGUCGUAAGAUGUGAGGAAGGUGGGGAUGACGUCAAAUCAGCACGGCCCUUACGUCCGGGGCUACACACGUGUUACAAUGGGGGGUACAGAAGGCAGCUACACGGCGACGUGAUGCUAAUCCCGAAAGCCUCUCUCAGUUCGGAUUGGAGUCUGCAACCCGACUCCAUGAAGCUGGAUUCGCUAGUAAUCGCGCAUCAGCCACGGCGCGGUGAAUACGUUCCC
rnacentral:rRNA from 1 species